GUAAAGCAUGAGGAGCUGUCCUGUUGAGGGGGAUAACGUUCGGAAACGGACCCUAAUACCCCAUAGGCCGAGAGGUUAAAGGCAGAGAUGCGCGACAGGAGGUACUCGUGUCCUAUCAGCUGGUUGGUGAGGUAACGGCUCACCAAGGCGACGACGGGUAGCCGGCCUGAGAGGGUGACCGGCCACACUGGAACUGAGACACGGUCCAGACUCCUACGGGAGGCAGCAGUGGGGAAUAUUGGGCAAUGGGAGGAAUCCUGACCCAGCGACGCCGCGUGAACGAAGACGGCCUUCGGGUUGUAAAGUUCUUUUAUGUGGGAAGAAUUAAGUGACGGUACCACAUGAAUAAGC
rnacentral:rRNA from 1 species